GUCAGAACUAGUCUGCUGGAGAUUUGGGUAUGCAGUCGUCAUCGUCUAAUCUCAGUGGAUUCUUUGUUUUAUUUGUGAAUGCAGAGAAAUAAAAACAGUGAGAAGAGUUCGUGUGGAGUCAUACAUUAUCAUCACAAUUAACACCUGCACUAGAGAGGGUUGUUACAUAAAAUUUUGUGUAAAAUGAAGACACAUUAGACUUCUCCUGCACAUUGUGCGUUUCAAUGCGUGUUUCACGUUCGUUGUGAUAUGCAUCAGGUUAAUAUGCAGAUUAUAGUUCUAGUUUUGUCAUUCGAGUUCGAAUCUUUAUUUAUUUUAUUUAUUUGCUGGCAUUCAUAAUAAGACACUUCACGUAGAGGCGGCCUGGCAGCAAUCAGUGAAACGUUUGUAAACUUAACCAUGAUAGGCUACUUUGAAGGCUUAAGUAAACAGCUUGGGCAACAUGGCAAGAUAACAGUAGCCAGUCACCAUAAUCCGCUGUGUUAACCUGCUAAACACAAUAACAUGGUUGACCUAAUUUACUAGUAGGCCUAGUACAUAUUACCAAUUUCACUGGGAAGUGUCAACCGGUUAGUGGCGCAAGCAGGUUGUUGUCAGGUUAUCAUAAAAGCAGUUUAAUUUAG